rnacentral:rRNA from 1 species
ACUCAAAGGAAUUGACGGGGACCCGCACAAGCGGUGGAGCAUGUGGUUUAAUUCGAGGCAACGCGAAGAACCUUACCAGGCCUUGACUUCCUGAUUAACGGGUACAGAGACGUACCUUUCAGUUCGGCUGGAUCAGUGACAGGUGCUGCAUGGCUGUCGUCAGCUCGUGUCGUGAGAUGUUGGGUUAAGUCCCGCAACGAGCGCAACCCUCAUCUUUAGUUGCCAUCAGUUCGGCUGGGCACUCUAAAGAAACUGCCGGCGUUAAGCCGGAGGAAGGUGGGGAUGACGUCAAGUCUUCAUGGCCCUUACGGCCUGGGCUACACACGUGCUACAAUGGUGGUGACAGAGGGCAGCUAACCCGCGAGGGUAUGCGAAUCUCCAAAAACCACCUCAGUUCAGAUUGCAGGCUGCAACUCGCCUGUAUGAAGCUGGAAUCGCUAGUAAUCGCAGAUCAGAACGCUGCGGUGAAUACGUUCCCGGGUCUUGUACACACCGCCCGU